rnacentral:misc_RNA from 1 species
GGAAGGAUCAUUAACAAACGUAUCCACGUACAAAACUCGCGAACUGUUCCCCUGUAAGAGUAAACAAACUUGUGGAUGAAGUUAAUGGCUGAGAGUCUCUUUCUGAUGGAUUUCUGGAUUUUUAUCUGGAACUGGGAGCUCUCAGUCGCUGGCAAGAUUGCUGGGACUUCGUUUACUCUGCUGCGGUAUUUGCCUCCCAUCAGAGGUGUUGUAAUUAACCAAUUUUAUUAACCCAUGCAAAUUUGAACUGAACUUUGUAGCCGAGUAACUGCCCUUGCUGGCUUCGGUCACGGACAUGCUGCUCAGUUACUAUGUUUAUAAAAUAAAGAACAACUCUUAACAACGGAUAUCUUGGUUCUCGUAUCGAUGAAGAACGCAGCAAAAUGCGAUACGUAAUGCGAAUUGCAGAAUUCAGUGAAUCAUCAAAUCUUUGAACGCAAAUUGCGCUCUCGGGAUAGGCCUGGGAGCACGCCUCUUUGAGUAUCGACUCCAACACAACUCGCAAGCGCACUUGUUGAAAAACUUGUGCGCCUGCGGAAACUGAGCACUCUCGUUAACUCGAGAUGCUUGAAAUGCAGCGAGUGGCAUGAGUUGCUGAUCGACAGCGGACUCUGUCUCUGGUGACGAGGAUAACUUCACAUUCAUUUGUGAACCCUUCCAUCGUGACUAUUGAGGCUAGGAAAGCAGACAGUCGCAGCUCUAUGUGGCACGGCACUCUCGAUCGGUUUCGCGCAAGCGAAGUCUGGUCUGAGAACCUAGAACUAGAUCUCAAAUGAAGCGAGAAAACCCGCUGAACUUAAGCAUAUCAUUAAGCGGAGGAAAAGAAAACUAACAAGGAUGCCCUCAGUAACGGCGAGUGAAGCGGGCAGAGCUCAAACUGAAAAUCGAUGCUCCAUGCGGGGUUUCGAAUUGUAGUCUAUAGACGCGCCAUCAGCGAUGAACCGGGUAUAAAUCUUUUGAAACAAGGUGUCAUAGAGGGUGAGAACCCCGUCUUUGACUCGGAGCUCAUUGCGUACGAUGCGCGUUCAAAGAGUCGGGUUGCUUGGGAUUGCAGCCCUAAGCGGGUGGUAAAUUUCAUCUAAAGCUAAAUAUUGACGAGAGACCGAUAGCGAACAAGUACCGUGAGGGAAAGAUGAAAAGAACUUUGAAAAGAGAGUUAAAAAGUACUUGAAAUUGUUAAGAGGGAAGCACUGGAAACCAGUAUUGCCGGUUGCUGUACUCGCCUAUCUGCGGGUCGGAGGCUGCGUGCCGGGAGUUCAACCCUCGGUUGCGUAGUCGAAGAUUCGUGGGUGGGUUCAGCAGUGAUUGGUGGGUCAAAAUCAUUUCGGUUCGCGGGAGAAAGCUAUCUGGAAGAUAGGGUCAAGGGGCAACCUGAGACCUGUUAUAGCCGGCUAGUGCUACCGUGGGCUGGAUUGAGGAACAAAUGCGCGCCACUAGGUUUCAGUUCCCCGACCCUGGGGUGUGAUCGGCGUUGGAUAGCAAAGCUAUGCGCGUUGAGUAAUGCUCUACUGGAAGGGAUGAACUAGAUGCAGCAUUCGAGAUUUUGACGAAAUGGUUUCCAUUGACCCGUCUUGAAACACGGACCAAGGAGUCUAACAUAUAUGCGAGUGUUUAGGUGGCAAACCCUUUCGCGCAAUGAAAGUAAAGGCAGCGUGCUGCUGAGGUAGGAACCCUGGUCCUCGGACCAGGCGGCACUAUCGACCGAUCGUCACUUGUGAUAGAUUUGAGUAUGAGCAUGUCUGUUGGGACCCGAAAGAUGGUGAUCUAUGCCUGAACAGGGUGAAGCCAGGGGAAACUCUGGUGGAGGCUCGUAGCGAUACUGACGUGCAAAUCGUUCGUCUGAUUUGGGUAUAGGGGCGAAAGACUAAUCGAACCAUCUAGUAGCUGGUUCCCUC